GAGUGCGCAGGCGGUUUUGCAAGACCGAUGUGAAAUCCCCGGGCUUAACCUGGGAACUGCAUUGGUGACUGCAAGGCUAGAGUGUGUCAGAGGGAGGUGGAAUUCCGCAUGUAGCAGUGAAAUGCGUAGAUAUGCGGAGGAACACCGAUGGCGAAGGCAGCCUCCUGGGAUAACACUGACGCUCAUGCACGAAAGCGUGGGGAGCAAACAGGAUUAGAUACCCUGGUAGUCCACGCCCUAAACGAUGUCUACUAGUUGUCGGGGAUUAAUUUCCUUGGUAAUGCAGCUAACGCGUGAAGUAGACCGCCUGGGGAGUACGGUCGCAAGAUUAAAACUCAAAGGAAUUGACGGGGACCCGCACAAGCGGUGGAUGAUGUGGAUUAAUUCGAUGCAACGCGAAAAACCUUACCUACGCUUGACAUGUCCGGAACCCUGAAGAGAUUUGGGGGUGCUCGAAAGAGAGCCGGAACACAGGUGCUGCAUGGCUGUCGUCAGCUCGUGUCGUGAG
rnacentral:rRNA from 1 species